AAAAAUUAAGUGAGCCGAGUUUGAGCCUAUAGGCAUGAGGCCCGAUGGUAUUUGAGCUUGAGCCUAUAAAAACGAGGCCCGAUGGUAUAUGAGCUUGAGCCGACCCAAGCUCGGCUCACAUGGCCCGAUUGCCAGCCCUAUUUUCCAGUAAGUAUUUAAUGGGAAAAAGUUUUCCUUACAAAGGUUUUCAAAGUAAUUAAGGUUAUAUUAGAGGUUUUGAUUUUUUAAAAGAAAAAUGAAAUUUUCUAGUUUUUGAUUUCAAGAAAAUUCGA
rnacentral:lncRNA from 1 species